rnacentral:hammerhead_ribozyme from 1 species
AUUCAACGGAUGAGUUCCAAAUAAAACGAAAUGCACAUCCUGAAU